AUCGCUUCUUAGCCUUUUGGCUAAGAUCAAGUG
rnacentral:snRNA from 1 species